rnacentral:rRNA from 1 species
AAACAACUCUCAGCAACGGAUAUCUUGGCUCUUGCAACGAUGAAGAACGCAGCGAAAUGCGAUACGUAGUGUGAAUUGCAGAAUUCGGCGAAUCAUCGAGUCUUUGAACGCAAGUUGCGCCCGAGGCUUGACCAAGGGCAUUUCUGCCAGAGCGUCACC